AUGGGAGCAUUUUUAGACAAGCCAAAGAUGUCCAGGGGCAGGGGAAUGGGUUGCGAUACUGCCUAAGCAGCAUGCAAGGUUGGCGAGUUGAAAUGGAGGAUGCACAUACUGUUGUGAUCGGUUUGCCAAGUGGACUUGAGACAUGGUCAUUCUUUGUUGUAUAUGAUGGGCAUGCUGGUUCUCAGGUUGCCAAAUACUGCUGUGAGCACUUGUUAGGUCACAUCACCAAUAACCAGAAUUUUAAAGGGUCUGCAGGAGCACCUUCUGUGGAAAACGUAAAGAAUGGAAUCAGAACAGGUUUUCUGGAGAUUGAUGAACACAUGAGAGUUAUGUCAGAGAAGAAACAUGGUGCAGGUAGAAGUGGGUCAACUGCUGUGGGUGUCUUAAUUUCUCCCCAACUUACUUAUUUCAUUAACUGUGGAGACUCAAGAGGUUUACUUUGUAGGAAUAGAAAAGUUCACUUCUUCACACAAGACCAUAAACCAAGUAAUCCUCUGGAAAAAAGAACAUAUUCAGAAUGCAGGAGGCUCCAUGAUGAUUCAGCGUGUCAAUGGCUCUCUGGCUGAAUCAAGGGGAUUUUAAUUACAAAUGUGUCCAUGGAAAAGGUCCCACAGAGCAGCUUGUCUCACCAGAGCCCGAAGUCCACGAUAUUGAAAGGUCUGAAGAAGAUGAUCAGUUCAUCAUUCUUGCAUGUGAUGGUAUCUCAGAUGUCAUGGGAAACGAAGAGCUCUGUGACUUUGUGAGAUCCAGACUUGAAGUCACUGAUGACCUUGAAAAAGUUUGCAAUGAAGUAGUCGACACCUGUUUAUAUAAGGGAAGUCGAGAAAACAUGAGUGUGAUUUUGAUCUGUUUUCCAAAUGCACCUAAAGUCUCAACAGAAGUGGUGAAGAAGGAGGCAGAGCUGGACAAGUACCUGGAAAGCAGAGUAGAAGAAAUCAUAAAGAAGCAGGGGCAAGGCGUUCCUGACUUUGUCCAUGUGAUGCUCACGCUAGCCAGGGAGAACAUCCUCAUCCUCCCACCAGGGGGUGAAUUGGCAAGCAAGCGGAAUGUAAUUGAAGUCCUUUACAAUAGACUGAACCCUUACAAAAAUGACGACCCUGAUUCUGCAUCAACUGAUGAUAUGUGGUAAAGCCGCUCAUCUAGCCAUGGGUUCACCUUUGC